UGCAAGUUGGACACUUUCAGGGAGGUGUCAACAUGGCAUUAAUAUCAGUUCGUGUAGCAUCUUCUAAAAAGACUCAUCUAAACAACACUGAGGAUGGUAUGCUUGGACCUGCAAUUGUGCUGCAGUCCAUCCUCAUGUGGCACAUAAAUCCCAGGACAGUUGGAACCAGGAGGUUGAUGAUGCUGACUCCUGAUUACCUCACCACCAGCCAAUCAGAAGAAUGUCCAUGAGCUCAUCACAUCUCUGAACCAUCCCUCUCAAACUCCUCACUACACCUCUCCAGUGACUUACAACCUAGAGGAUUUGUCUGAGGGAAAAAUAAAUGUUGAAGGACAGAUGUGUCUGGCAAUCCUGAUACACAAAAGCUUCUAUAAAAAUCCAAGCAGACAAUGAUUACCAAGUACUU